GAUGAACGCUGGCGGCGUGCCUAAUACAUGCAAGUCGAGCGAACCACUUCGGUGGUGAGCGGCGAACGGGUGAGUAACACGUAGGUUAUCUGCCCAUCAGACGGGGACAACGAUUGGAAACGAUCGCUAAUACCGGAUAGGACGAAAGUUUAAAGGUGCUUCGGCACCACUGAUGGAUGAGCCUGCGGCGCAUUAGCUAGUUGGUAGGGUAAAGGCCUACCAAGGCGACGAUGCGUAGCCGACCUGAGAGGGUGAACGGCCACACUGGGACUGAGACACGGCCCAGACUCCUACGGGAGGCAGCAGUAGGGAAUCUUCGGCAAAUGGGCGAAAGCCUGACUGAGCAACGCCGCGUGAAUGAUGAAGGCCUUCGGGUUGUAAAUUCUGUUAUAAGGGAAGAAUAGGCUCUAGUAGGAAAUGGCUAGAGUGUGACGGUACCUUAUGAGAAAGCCACGGCUAACUACGUG
rnacentral:rRNA from 1 species